CCUACGGGUGGCAGCAGUGGGGAAUAUUGCUCAAUGGGCGAAACCCUGAUGCAGCGACGUCGCGUGAGUGAAGAAGUAAUUAGUUACGUAAAGCUCUAUCAGCAGGGAAGCAAAUGACUGUACCUGAGUAAGUAGCCCCGGCUACAUACGUGCCAGCAGCCGCGGGAAUCCGUAGGGGGAAAGCGUUAUUCGGAUGUACUGGGUGUAAAGGGAGCGUAGACGGUGCGCCAAGGCUGGAGUGAAAUGGAGCAGGUCAACUGCUGAAGUGCUGUGGAAACGGGCGAACUAGAGUGGGGGAGGGGUAAGCGGAAUGCGUAGUGUAGCGGUGAAAUGCUUAGAUAUCACGAAGAACCACGAUUGCGAAGGCAGCUUACUAAACUGUGACUGACGUUGAAGCACGAAAGUGUGGGUAUCGAACAGGAUUAGAUACCCGUGUAGUC
rnacentral:rRNA from 1 species